rnacentral:tRNA from 1 species
GCGAGUAUAGCUCAGUUGGUUAGAGCGCUGCCUUCACACGGCAGAGGUCCUCAGUUCGAAUCUGAGUACUCGCACCA